rnacentral:lncRNA from 1 species
AUACUCUUAGAAAACUCAAGAUGGAGGAAGGGAAGAGGUGAACACAGCAACCCUAAAAAAAGAUCAUCUUCUUCUUCUCUUUACUCUCACUUAGACACCUAGUCUUGUGUCUAUUGUAUCUCUAUGCCCUAACCUUCUUUCUCCCUGAUUUUUGCAUGCCCCAAAGGUCUCUCUUUUUUCUAUUUUUUACAAAAAUUUUAUUUAGAAAUUUAUUUUAAAUAGAGAG